ACGCUGUACAUCCGCCAAUUUAAUGACACCAGAUGUCUGAUUCUUUUUAAUAUAUGAGACAAGUUAUAGUACUGCCAGAAAAACAUGUUAUAUCUGUGACAAAAAUUAUAUUCUCUCAUACACAUGCCCCUAAAAAUGGAAAAAAACGUGCUGAGUCUGUAUUUUGACUGCUUAUAGCAAAUGUCUGACAAGGUCUACCAGAAAACAAAUUGUAUCAGUGAAAAGAACUAGGUCUAAUUGAUAUAUGUACCAAUUAUGAAGUUGGUGCUGUGAAGAAAACUGUUUUAUUCAAGCUG